GCCCGCCCCACUUCCCGCCCCUAGUCACGCCUCCUGGACGAGCCAACGGUCGCUCGCGAGGGACAAACAUCCUCCGAAAAGAAAAUGCCACUUGGAAUAUCACUGUUCAAUGGCUGGCCGGGGACAUUGCGUGUCGGACACUCAUGUUCCUGAAACUAAUGGCCAUGUAUGCUGCAGCCUUCCUGCCUGUGGUCAUUGGACUCCACCGCCAGGAAGCAGUACUCCACUCGCAUGGACCCCGCUCAGCUGGAAGGAAACUUCUGGAGAGAGCCUGAGGACUUAGCUUCCUGCUUGCCUUGCCCCAGCUGUUCCUGUUCCACACCGUCCACCAAGCUGGCCCAGUCUCCUUCAUCCAGUGUGUCACCAAAGGCAGUUUCAAGGCUCGAUGGCAAGAGACCACCGAUAACCUCUUCACCUUCUGUUGCCUCUUUCUGCUGCCAUGGACUGCCAUGAACGUCUGCUAUACCUGCACCGUUUUCAGUGGGUCCAGUUCCCGAUGAGGAAGGGGGACCACGUCUCCCCAGGGUUCCAGUUAGGAAGUGCCAUAAUGCCAAUCGCAACUAAUUUUCUUGAUCAACUCCUGCUCUAAUAACCAACGUGGAAGAAGAGGAAAGAAAAGAGAGAAAACAACUGUGAAUCUAUGGACAUCAAAGGUAGCAAACAGCAGCAACUUUGUGGGAGAGAGAGGAACACGGCCCUCACCAAAGAGGACAAAUAAUGUUUCCAAAGAGCAACAUGAAGGGAAGAGACAGAGUUGGGAAAUAUGUUUUCCCUCCUACCCAUUUCUGCAGACAGGAAGGUUUAAACACAGGGCUCAGUGAAGCUGGGUGAGCAGAGAGGAGUGAAGAGGGAAUAUUGGAAGAGGCUUCAAUGCUGAUCCCUUCUGGAGCAAGAACACACCCGGGAAGCUGAAUCAACAAGAAGUCACACAAGGUCAACCCAUAUUAUUUUGUGGCUUAUGAGAAGCAACAUGCCAACCAGUAGUUAAUCAUGGUGAAGCAAAGAACACAAAAUUUGGAUUUAAAAAAGAAAAGCUACAGAGAGGAAGGAAAAAGGCUGCUGCUCAUUCUAUAGUAUGUGUUCCUGAAAGAUCAUCCAUCCAUGAAGAAAACCACCAGGAGAAAUUUCACCUGCCAAACUUGCUGGGUAUGCCAAGAUUUCAAGGACUUGGCUGCUCUUUACUUGGGCCAUUUCUCAGGAUUGUGUUUGCAGCAAGAAACUCAAGG